rnacentral:rRNA from 1 species
ACGAACGCUGGCGGCGUGCUUAACACAUGCAAGUCGAACGGUGAAGCGCCUUCCUUUUUGGUGGGUGUGGAUGAGUGGCGAACGGGUGAGUAACACGUGAGUAACCUGCCCCCUUCUUCUGGAUAACCGCAUGAAAGUGUGGCUAAUACGGGAUAUUCUGGGUCUGUCGCAUGAUGGGUCUGGGAAAGAUAUUGUUUCGGUGGGGGAUGGGCUCGCGGCCUAUCAGCUUGUUGGUGGGGUGAUGGCCUACCAAGGCGGUGACGGGUAGCCGGCCUGAGAGGGUGGACGGUCACACUGGGACUGAGACACGGCCCAGGCUCCUACGGGAGGCAGCAGUGGGGAAUAUUGCACAAUGGGCGCAAGCCUGAUGCAGCGACGCCGCGUGAGGGAUGGAGGCCUUCGGGUUGUGAACCUCUUUCGCCAGUGAAGCAGGCCUGCCUCGUUUGUGGGUGGGUUGACGGUAGCUGGAUAAGAAGCGCCGGCUAACUACGUG